CCCCAUCACCAGAAGAUCGCAUAUGUGGUGUUUAUGGCAUCCCGGAAACUUCAGCAUUAUUUUCAAGCUUGCCCCAUUACAGUGGCCAGUGAGGUUCCCUUGUCUGACAUCAUCAAUAAUAGGAAAGCCACAGGCCAGAUUGCAAAGUGGGCGAUCGAGCUGCUGCCCUUUGAGAUAAAUUGCCAGCCAUGCCGGGCCAUAAAGUCACGGGUCCUGGCAAAUUUCAUCUUGGAAUGGACGGAAGCCCAGCAACCAAAAUGGCGGAUCAACUACAAGCAUUGGACGAUGUACUUUGAUGGAUCAAAGAUGCUUGCCAGAUUGGGGGCUGGGGUAGUCCUGGUAUCUCCAACAGGUGAUAAGAUGUGCUAUGUGCUCCAAAUCCUAUAUACAUACUCCAAUAACGUUGCCGAAUAUGAAGUCUCUUGCAUGGCCUUCACAUGCUGUAACCAUGGGUAUCGAAAGGCUCAAGGUACGUGGUGA
rnacentral:rRNA from 1 species